rnacentral:misc_RNA from 1 species
ACAUUUUGGCUACGUUUUGAUCGAUCAAAUGCUGGUUUGAUGAGGGAGGAGUCUAAAAUAUUACCGGGACACAGAUUCAUAAGGCGGGAGAGGGGAGUGAACAAUGAGUCAGUGACGCAAAGUACCAAAAAAUGGCUUCUUCGGCUUACAUUGCAACAGAAGAAAUAACAAACGCCAACCGAAUCUCCCGACUUCUGAUGGGGCCAUGCGCAGACCAACUCAAAGAUCUACUUUGCUUCUAUGUUCCUCCCUCAAAGUUUCCAGAAGUAAUCAAGAAAUCCCGUCUGCCGGGCUUCAUGUCAGUCAACCACCGUAAGCUUAUUCUGCCCAAGUCCGGGGCCUACAAGGGAGACUACGGGGAUAUGGACAUCACCUUGUUGUACACCUUACUCAGAAACAUUUGUGGGAUAAAAGAGCACCGUGCUGGUUGGGGAGAAAAGCAUCAGGCCUCUGACCGAUCGGUCUCGGCAAACAUAGAGCGGAUACGACUGGCCAGAAACCAAUGCGGCCAUUCCACAGGAGGCCUUCUUUCAAAUGCCGACUUCAAUCAAAUAUGGUCAUCUGUCAGAGCGUCCGUUAUGGACCUCGAUCUGGAACUGGGGAACGGAAACAAGUAUGAGAAAGAGGUUGACUUUAUCCGCCACGACACAAUGGACCCAGUGAGAGACCAGCACUACAGGGAUCAGCUGAUGAAGCAGACGAUAGAGAAUCAGGCGACGAUUGAAGAGGUCAAUCGACUCAAACGGCAAACUGAAGAGAGUAAGCAACAAGUUCAACAGAAGAUACAGAAACUGGAAAGUUCUUUGCAAUUCAUCAACGAACAAACCACUUCUCUUCAAACAGAUAUACAAGACGCCCAAUUCAGAAUUUCAACUGUGGAAAACAGCAAUAUUCCACUUCACAUAAAAAAACAACACACAAAAUUACUGGACACCUGGAGGAAAGAAGACCUACCUUUCUAUGAAGUCCAUAGUUUCCUGGAUAUUCUAGAAAAAGUUCAAUCCAAACAAAUCGUGACCAUCAUCGGGGGACCAGGUUCCGGCAAAACAGCUAUGGUCCGUCAUAUUGCUCUACUGCUUCAGACAGAGUUUGAGAUCGUCCCCAUCUCUUCUCCACGCGAUAUCAUCCAAUAUGGCCAAGAAGGAUGCCAACAGCCGUUGGGGUUGAGAGGGGGAAGUAUACAGAGAUAGAAGAUUACAAAGAAAACAUUUUAAAUGUGCUUGGUGCUCAAUCCAAGAUUCUGCUCACGUGUCGAAGAUCGCUGUACAAAGAGGCUGAAGAAUUGGAGUCCUUUAUUAUAAGUAAAGAGUGCAUUGUUGAUCUGGAAGACAAUGACAACCAACUGACAGACCAAGACAGGGAACGCAUCCUGAUGAAUCACUGUACGCAUAAUGGGUGUCAUAUUAAAUCCACAGGAAAAUCCCACAGCAUCAUCAAACGUAGAAAUAAUGAAGUUUCCGCUGCUGUGUAAACUAUUUUGCUCUGAUUCAAAAUACCAGGCCUUGGGUAUGAAAUUUUUUGAGAGCCCAAAGUCAUGCAUUCUCCGUGAAAUAAACCUCUUACAGAAGCACAAGCGCAUCCAAUACUCAGCGCUUGUGCUUUGCAUGUUUUGCCAAAAUCAAUUGACAGACGACAUGCUGAAAAAGAGAGAGCCACGGUUCAUGGAGAUUAGAGAAGUUGUGUUUGAAAGCUGCCGAGUGAAUGGAAGAAAUUCAGAAAUUAUGGAUGCUUUGGAACAUCUGGAGAAUACAUUCACAUCCCCGACAAGCAAUGGUUACUCGUUAAUCCACGACUCGCUGUAUGAGGUCUUGGCAUACCAUUAUGGGAACAAAAACCAAGAGGAUAUGUUGAAGUACAUGAAUAGUAGCUUUAUCAGCAGAAAGUUCAUUGUUAAUGAGAGAGGAGACGAAACAGACGACCUGUUCAUCAAACUUAGAGAGGAACAUUACAAAGUGUUUGCUGAGCGACUCCUCAAAGAUUUAACAUCUCUGGAACUGCACGACGUUUUCAUGAACAUGGCUCCGAAAGAUGACCGGGUUUGUUGUGCAUUUAUCGAUGAACUGAAGAGACUGUCUUAUCAAGAGAUCAAAGAACUGUUCUUUUCUAAACAAGAGGACACGUCAAAAAUUGUCUCCAGAAGCAAGCACGUGGGGGACAAGCUGGAGAUCCGACAGACCACAGACUGUGAACAAGAUCGCCAGAAUAUGUUGGUGGGAGGGGUGGUGGCGGCAGAGAAUGCAUCAAAGCUCGAUAUCCGGGUCAUCAGCUGGGUCAUCUACUACGGCCAUUGUAAACUCCUCCAGUUCCUGUUUGACCAAGUGCUCGAUAACCAAGAGUCAAUUCAACAGGUGAUGGGAUGGGAUAAACCAAAUGACUGUGAAGAAAGUCGUGUCCCUGACAUCAUUGAACAAACGAGACUUCUUACUCUUAGUUGUUACAGCGGGAAUUUAGAAGUCGUGAAACUGUUGCUGGAACAUUGCGACACAGAGUGCAUCAAUAACAAAUCUCAGUACACGUGUCACAUGUUCCACGAUCAUCGAUACAUCACUCCUCUAACCGCUGCCUGUGCACGAGGCCACCAACAAGUGGUAGAUGAGUUAAUACACCACGGAGCUAGCAUUGAUCAGCAAGACGAGUGGGGCAUCACAGCCUUGUAUGUGGCGGCAGAAUCCGGUCAUUUGCCCAUCGUGGAGUCUCUGGUUAAAGCUGGUGCCGACGUCGAUGAGUGUGAUUUGGACGGCAUCACCCCUUUAUUUGCCGCGGCCCAAACUGGAUAUUUGACGGUAGUGGAUUUUCUUCUAAAACAUGGAGGUGAUUGCAACAAGCCGGAUAUAUACAAAAUGUCACCGCUUUAUGUAGCAGCACGGAAUGGCCAUGAUUCUAUCGUUGAUUUGUUGACACAGCACGGCGCUGACUGCAACCAGAGCGACAUGGAUGGCAGGAGUCCUCUGUAUGCAGCAUCAAGAUCUGGUCACAUGACUGUGGUGGAGACACUUAUUAACCACGGGGCCGACGUGAAUCAAUGCAGCACUGAUGGCAAAUCUCCACUGUCUGUCGCCUUAAAGCACGGACAAACGACUGUCGCUGAUUUACUAUUCAAACAUGGCGCUAAGAAAUAAGGUUGAAUUUCAUGAAAUGAGAUAUGAUGAAACUCAAUCAUGUUUUGUUAUUAUAAAAUAUACUAAGGUAUAUAGAAGAAUGGUUUGCUAAAUCAAUAAAAGCAACGCAAUUCUCUG